rnacentral:lncRNA from 1 species
UACACCAUAAAUUUGGGAGAUAUUUGCUUACACCCUUCCCCCCCCCCAUCUAGACCUGGGUUUCUAGCCACCCCUUGCAGCACCUCAGAAGUCCAUUUUCUCCUGCCUGGAAUGCUCCCCAUCCUUAUGAAACCAGCGAUCAAGGGGACCAGUUGCAACGUCCUCCCUUUGAGACCAUGCCAGCCUGGGCAGCACCAGUUUCUGGACGGCUGUGGCCAGGGUACGAGAUGCCCGUGUACAGCCAGCCUUCUGCAAUGACACCAUCUGUCCAGAGAAACUUCUCCUCUCCACGUUGGACAGCUCCAAGGGGCCACAUGGUAGAGACAGGUGGCUUUCCACAGGGGUGGCACAGGCCUGGCAUGGCCCAGAUACCCGAGCGCCAACCCUUGCCAAGUUUCUGGGCUGGCCAUACCAUCAAAAAUGAGGAGACCACGGGCGUCCCCACGAACCCUCUUCUCAGCGGUGGAGACUCCAGGGAAGAACAGAACCCCACGUCUGUGCGAACACGGAAAGAGCAUAGCCGGGCAAACACGGCUGAAGGAAUUUCACUGUCUGUAAUGCAUUAUGGAACUGCUCCAGGCCAGUUUGGGCUGCUGAGGAGGUCUGUGGGUCACGACGGAUCAGCUCCUCGAGUCUUCUUUCCUGAUGAGACGGGUUCUGGGCCCGGGGUGGCCGAAAGGGCCUCGGAUCCGUCUCCAAGGCAACGAGGGAUGCAGGCGAAACCCCGGGAUGCUGACACCAUGCCUUUAAACGAGCCCUUGGCACAGAUUCCCCUGGAGAGGCACAAAUUCCACUGGUGA